rnacentral:rRNA from 1 species
GUAACUGAGGGGACAAACUUAAACUGGAGAAUGAUGGAGUAUGUCAUACGCCAAGUGAUGGACCUUGACAAGUUAGUGGAGCGUCAUGAUGCUGGAAACUAUGAUCAAGGAAGAGCAUAUGCAUUCGUCCAUACGUUGACAUGGUCAGACUGCAACAAGAACUUCUCGAAACUGCCUAAUCGUGUUGUCCCCGAAGAAAUGGAGGAAUAUGGUGCCAUAACCAUUGUUUGUCAUCCACACAGUACUGUGUCAAGUACAUACACCAUUUCUGAUAUUGACGGUCGUGUCUGCGUCAACAAAUGGAACGAGUUCAUGAAGAAGGAAAAAAAUCUUGUUGUUAGGACAGAAGGUGCUGAUGUUGCUGUACCUGGGAGAUCAUGGGAUUUAUCUGUUUGUUUCGUGCCUCUAGAGUAG